rnacentral:rRNA from 1 species
GUACACACCGCCCGUCGCUCCUACCGAUUGAACGGUCCGAUGAAAUCUUCGGAUCGGAGUACCCAUCUGCUGGGCAACCAGUAGUAGUGCACCGAAAAGUAGAGUGAAUCUUAUCGUUUAGAGGAAGGAGAAGUCGUAACAAGGUAUUCGUAGGUGAACCUGCAGAAGGAUCA